AAGCAUCUCACCCCAGAUGUCAUUCCCAUUAAUUUCCCAAAAUUACCAUGAGUACUGAACCUAGAGGAGUUAAGCUUAAUUGUCUUUGUUCUUCAUUCCCAUGAUCUAUUCUUUCUUCUCUUCCUGCUCACACACUGGGUUGAUGUUCUCCAGGUGAAGCCAUUGCAACCACAGGGCUCUCUGAACUGGGCUGUCAGCACGACGGAGCUGCAGAUGCUAAAAUAUCUCUACUGCAUAUUUUCAGAGGAUGUGAGCUCGGCCAUGCUCUCAACCAUAACAGCCAAGCUGCAGGAGCAGCAGUCUCCCAGCUCUCAUGAUCAUGCAACUCAAACCCUGGUUCUGAGCACCCACACCAGAGAUCUAACCAGCUUAUGCACCUUUUCCAGCUGUCCACACAAAUACCUUCUCAUGUCUGUGGGGGAAGGAGAAAAGGGAGGAGAGGAAAGGAAGGAAGACAGGGAAGAGGACUGUCUCCAGCUUUCAUCUCAAAAUGGAGAUAGGACACAGCCUUGGAAUGCACCUUGAAUUUGCAGAAAAUGCAGAGGUAGUCACAUCUUGGGACUGAGCAUAGAACCACUCAGCACAUUGCUGCAUGCUGACUUCAAGAAAGACCUGACAUAUCUUAAUUGUGUGAUAGUGCAUUUGUCACCACUAAUUUUGAAACUGAUUGCAUUGGAAGAGUUAGGUUAUGAAUGUAAACUCAUGCCAGACAGCUGGAAGACUGUGAUAAGUUUUGUUUGUCUUCAAAAUGUGCCACUGAAGUAGUCUCCUCAGACUGUGGCUUUCCUCUUCCUUCCUUAUACUCAAUUAGUGUCAUCUAAACAAAAAAGAAAAAAAGGAAAAAAAAAAACCAAAAAAACAGAGAAAGUUGCUUUAAAUAAAGUUAAAAAACAACUAGACA
rnacentral:lncRNA from 1 species